AUUGAACGCUGGCGGCAUGCUUUAUACAUGCAAGUCGAACGGUAACAGGCCGCAAGGUGCUGACGAGUGGCGAACGGUUGAGUAAUGCAUCGGAACGUGCCCAGUCGUGGGGGAUAACUACUCGAAAGAGUAGCUAAUACCGCAUACGAUCUAUGGAUGAAAGCGGGGGACCGUAAGGCCUCGCGCGAUUGGAGCGGCCGAUGUCAGAUUAGGUAGUUGGUGGGGUAAAGGCUCACCAAGCCAACGAUCUGUAGCUGGUCUGAGAGGACGACCAGCCACACUGGGACUGAGACACGGCCCAGACUCCUACGGGAGGCAGCAGUGGGGAAUUUUGGACAAUGGGCGCAAGCCUGAUCCAGCAAUGCCGCGUGCAGGAAGAAGGCCUUCGGGUUGUAAACUGCUUUUGUACGGAACGAAACGGCUCUGGUUAAUACCCGGGGCUAAUGACGGUACCGUAAGAAUAAGCACCGGCUAACUACGUG
rnacentral:rRNA from 1 species